rnacentral:rRNA from 1 species
AUGUAUGAGGUGAUCGCUGAAGAUCUCCAGGACGUCGUGAUGUCCCCCAAGAGCAUGGCGCGUGAUGUUUGGGUCCAGCUCCACCUGCUGUUCCGCGCCAAUCAACCGGGCCGCGCCAUCAUCCUCGAGGCGGAAUUCCGCAACAUGGUGCAGGGCAACCUCUCCGUCGCUGAAUACAGCGUGAGGCUCAAGGCGCUCGCCGACGCGCUUGGCGUAGUCAGCGUCACCAUCUCCGACCAAGCCCUCAUGCUCCAGCUCAUCCGCGGGCUCAGCCGUCGCUUCCAGGUGAUGGCGACUCUCCUUCCGAUGCCGAACCCCUUCUCGUCCUUCAUCCAGGCCCGCUCCUGGCUCCUUCUAGAGGAGCUCUCCGCCAACGAGCGGGCUCGCAUCGACGAGCAAGGUGCGGGAUCACCGACCGCGCUCACCAUUGGCCGCGCCACCGACACUAGCAGCGACCGCGCCGGCGCCCCCGCCGGUGACAGGGGCAAGGGCGACACCCCCUCUCCUCCCGCUGACAGGCCGGCGCGCGGCCAUGGACGCGGCCGUGGGCAUGGACGCGGCUCCCCCGGCUCCUCGUCUUCAGGAAACUCCAACACGGGCAACCGUGGCACUCCCGCUCCUGCCGCAAACGCUCGUCCGUGGCUGGGCUACUUCGCCCCCUGGGACACGCGUUCCCUCCCCUGCCGCACCAGCUCCGCGCACCGUGGUCCGCGCCCAAUGUGCCGGCGUCCUCGGGCCUCGUUUGCCUCCGCCGCACCAUGCGUACCCGGUCGCAGCGCCCCCGGUCGCGGCCGGCCCCUUCUGGGAGCAGUACCAUCAGCUCAACACGGCGCUCCACAACCUGUCCAUGCAGCAGUGGCAGCACGCCGGCGCCGCCCCGGACUAGAUCCUCGACGCGGGGGCUUCCUCCCACGUAGCUGGACCUAG